rnacentral:rRNA from 1 species
UACGAGUGCCUCAAGCGUUGUCCGGAAUCAUUGGGCGUAAAGCGCGUGUAGGCGGCUUGUUAAGUCCGCUCUGAAAGCCCGGGGCUCAACCCCGGGAGGCGGGUGGAUACUGGCAAGCUCGAGUCCGGAAGAGGCGAGUGGAAUUCCUGGUGUAGCGGUGAAAUGCGCAGAUAUCAGGAGGAACACCAAUGGCGAAGGCAGCUCGCUGGGACGUGACUGACGCUGAGACGCGAAAGCGUGGGGAGCAAACAGG